rnacentral:rRNA from 1 species
CUACGGGUCGCUCCAGUGAGGAAUAUUGCACAAUGGGGGGAACCCUGAUGCAGCAACGCCGCGUGGAGGAUGACGCAUUUCGGUGUGUAAACUCCUUUUAUAUGUCAAGAAAAUGACGGUAGCAUAUGAAUAAGCACCGGCUAACUCCGUGCCAGCAGCCGCGGUAAUACGGAGUGUGCAAGCGUUACUCGGAAUCACUGGGCGUAAAGGACGCGUAGGCGGGUUGGAAAGUCAGGUGUGAAAUCCCACAGCUUAACUGUAGAACUGCACUUGAAACUUCUAAUCUAGAGUAUGGGAGGGGGAAAUGGAAUUAGUGGUGUAGGGGUAAAAUCCGUAGAUAUCACUAGGAAUACCUAAAGCGAAGGCGAUCUCCUGGAACAUUACUGACGCUAAGGCGUGAAAGCGUGGGGAGCAAACAGGAUUAGAUACCCGUGUAGUC